GCCCUGCGCGGGGCGGCGGCUCGCGGGGCGCCCGCGCCGCCCGCUCUAACGUGUCUCUUCUCUCCACAGGUUGGUACUAAGAAGUGCCUUUCCUGACGUCGCUGCUGCUUGGGACCGCUUCUAGAGCAGCCGCUGCUUUUGCCUUGCUUGCUGCCAGCUAGACUGCGACGACAGCGCUCCGCCGCUGCCAGCCCCGCGCCCGCCGGGAGGAGGGUCCGGCUGCUCGCCCGCCGCCGCUGCACUGUGCACUAAGGUGUGCCGCGAAGGUCAGAGCUCCGCUGCCCGAAAGCCAAGGAGAGGAGGAGAAAAAGCCCCAGCCUAAAGCCGGUGUCGGUCGUUGCUCUAAACUGCUGCAUCUGUCUAUGCCAAACUAAUCGAUCCCGGGCGCACCGCAGAGCCCGCUGCGAGCCCGCUGCCUGGAGCCACCUGCCAGCCGCCGGCCCCGCCAGCAGCUCGGGCCCUGCUGCCGGAGCCGCCACGUUCCCAUGCUUGCGGCGGCCGCGCUCCGGACGGGAUGCUGAGCUAGCCCCGCCGCGCUCCGCAGGCGCUCCCGGCUGGCGGCCCGCCGUGCCCGCCCCGCUAACGGUGCCGCGCUCUCAACUCUGGUGACACAGCUCUUCCUCGAGAUUGCAGCCACCCAGUUUUACACGUACUUGUUUUAAAAUAGGGAGCGGGGGGAAAAAAAGUGUUCCGGAGGUGGCACUUUCAUAAUUUCCAGUUUAUCAGUUCGGCUACUCGUUUGCCCAUUUUUAUUGGAAAUUUUAACUACCUGUAAAAUCUAAAGAUGGCUGUUAGCGUCACACCGAUCCGGGACACAAAAUGGCUAACGCUGGAAGUGUGUAGGGAGUUCCAAAGGGGGACUUGCUCACGACCAGACACGGAAUGUAAAUUUGCACACCCGUCGAAAAGCUGCCAAGUUGAAAACGGACGCGUAAUCGCCUGCUUUGACUCAUUGAAAGGUCGAUGUUCAAGGGAAAACUGCAAAUAUCUUCACCCACCACCACACUUAAAAACGCAGCUGGAGAUCAAUGGCCGCAAUAACCUGAUCCAGCAGAAGAACAUGGCCAUGCUGGCCCAGCAGAUGCAGCUGGCCAAUGCCAUGAUGCCCGGAGCCCCGCUGCAGCCCGUGCCAAUGUUUUCCGUCGCGCCGAGCUUAGCCACCAACGCGUCAGCCGCCUUCAACCCCUACCUGGGGCCCGUCUCUCCCGGCCUGGUGCCCGCCGAGAUCCUGCCCACGGCCCCCAUGCUGGUGACAGGAAACCCCGGCGUGCCCGUUCCUGCCGCCGCCGCCGCCGCUGCCCAGAAGCUGAUGAGGACAGACAGGCUGGAGGUAUGUCGAGAGUACCAGCGUGGGAACUGCAACAGGGGAGAGAACGACUGCCGGUUCGCUCACCCCGCCGACAGCGCCAUGAUCGACACCAACGACAACACGGUCACCGUCUGCAUGGAUUACAUCAAGGGGAGGUGCUCCCGGGAAAAGUGCAAAUAUUUUCACCCUCCUGCACACCUGCAAGCCAAGAUCAAGGCUGCCCAGUACCAGGUUAACCAAGCUGCAGCUGCCCAAGCAGCAGCGACUGCAGCUGCCAUGACUCAGUCGGCUGUCAAAUCACUGAAGCGACCCCUCGAGGCAACCUUUGACCUGGGAAUUCCUCAAGCUGUACUUCCCCCCUUACCAAAGAGGCCUGCGCUUGAAAAAACCAAUGGUGCCACCGCAGUCUUUAACACUGGUAUCUUCCAAUACCAGCAAGCUCUUGCCAACAUGCAGUUACAGCAGCAUACAGCCUUUCUCCCACCAGGCUCAAUAUUGUGCAUGACACCCGCUACAAGUGUUGUUCCCAUGGUGCACGGUGCUACGCCAGCCACUGUGUCUGCAGCAACAACAUCUGCCACAAGUGUUCCCUUCGCUGCAACAGCCACAGCCAACCAGGAAUAUGAGAGUAAUGCUUUACCACGUAAGUGAUUAGAAGUCCUGCCAGGAAAGCCAGAACCAGUGCUCUAAAGAUGAGUCCCUGGGCCAGAGGAGUGGCUGGAGCUGCACCUGAGCACAGGACGCUGUCAGAAAAGCAGAUUUCUAUACAACAUCUGGCUGAAAGUGCAACAAUAAAAACGUUUUAAAGAGUCUCCUGUUCCUCUUCUAAAAGCCAAUUAUUUUUUGAGAUUUACUGGGCAGUUAGUUGUCCAUGCCAGGAAGCUGUCAGUUCUGGUCUGAUGUGCAGGUCUUGCUUCCAGCUCAGUGGGAUCACAUGUGUGUCCCUCAGAAAAGAGAGCUCCAGGUUCUCCUCAGCGUUGUGCAGGUGUGCUCCUGUGCAGGUAAAUGUCAGUGUUAAGGCAGGCUUACCUGAAGCACUCGGCUCCUGGCUCAGGACAGGUGGUUCCUCAGCACACCCAGAGCUGCAGAGUGAGCCCCAGGGCAUCUGGCUUUGAGCCUUUGCACCUUUACCUGUUGAGCACUACCAUUUUGUGCUGCCCCAGCUGUACAUCCCUCGUUAACCUGUCUGCUUCCUCAUCUCUCAAAAAUACAAUUCCCAAAUGGCAUCAUUGCAGUGACACCUGGGCGUGCACAUCCCAAGCCUCCAAAGGGACCUGGAUAUUGUAGAAUGCCAGAAACAGCCCAGGUUAGUCUGCUCAGCAGCUAGCACCUUCUUCUCUUGAGAAGUGUUUGCUGAAUGAACAGCUCACUCAGAGCUUUAAACUCGGCCUGAGAAUUUGUGUUUUGAAAAGUUAGUUCAUAGGUGGGGCUACCUCUGCAUAUGUGCCACCUCAGCAAGCAACCUCCUGUAUGCCCAAAGUCUCUUAAUAUUGUAGCUUAUUGCACCAGACAGUUACUUUCAGUGGGUCUCUGUAUCCUGUGCAUGUCCUGAGGGUUGUGAGAACAAGACAAGCCACAGAAAAAGUAAUUUUUUUAAAUCCCCUCUCUGUUAGUAACCAAGCACUUCUCAGGGAGAUCCCAGGGAAAACCUUCUGCUGUAGAAUCUGGUCAUUUCAUGCCUUUCCUCCCCAGAGCCUCAUAACACACUUAGUGCAGUUCUGCAGCCAAACCUCCAUAUAUACAUAUAUACCCAUAUAUGUAUAUACCAUGUGAGCAAUGCUGAAGGUAUUUAAUGCCACCCAAUGCCGUGUGCCUGCAUGCCAAAGGCUAAAGAUGUGGCCCUUCAUCUUCCCGGGCUGGUGUGGAAGGUCCUUGGUCUGGUCGACAGCACUGCCCCUGAUGCUGCUCCAGUCGGGUGCCGCAGCCUGUCCUGCAGCAGCAGGAAAACAUGAUACCCAUAAUAUCUGCCGAACAUCUGACUAGCCACAAGUAUGUUACACAGAUGUAGACAUUUGGUCAUCAAACAAUGGUGUCGGCGGCGAAGAGGCCGGAUUUGGGUGGGAAGAGGCCGAGCUCAUUAGCCAUAGUGUAUGUAAAUACUGUCCAGCAGCACUGGGAACCCCUCAGCAGUGACAUCACACAUUGCAUGUUAACGAGACGAAGCGAGGCCGUGGGACUCCACUGCACACUGUUGCCUAUCUACUUUGUACAUUGAAUUGAUAUUUGUGCUGAGGUGAUCUUGUCCAGCCUGCAGCAUCGCCCGCCUUUCCCGCGCGCUGCCGGCGGCUCCGGGGCUGCUCCCACAGCCAGGACUCCGCCCGGAAAGACCGACGAUGCUGCAGCCAGAAACCUAUUAUGUAUUGGUACGUCUGUAGACCAAGAUAUAAUUUUUUAAAGUAAGUUUAUUUCUUUCAAGGUUUACAAAUAACAAAGGUGCACCUUGUAUUUAAAAUUGCCAUUAUAGACGAGAGCGUGCAUGCACAGUAAUUUUUGUUUAAGAGUAAUAUUUUUAAUGUAAUAGAUUGUAAGAAAUGAGAAGAGAGGAAUCUGACAGAGAUGAAUGUGCCAAGCAAAACCACAACUGUGUAUAUUUUAAAGCACAUCAAUGGCUUUAAGUACCACGUUGUUAAGGAUUCUCAUGAAGUGCCAUAGACUGUACAUCCAUCAGAGUAUUAUUUCCGCAGUGUUAUUUUCAGAACCACGUUUUCACUGACUUGAUGAGUACUGAUCAGUCAAAGGGCACCAUUCUGUUUCAAACCAAAGCUGUCUCAGAAAUGGCCAAUUGCUCCUCACAGCCAGUGGGCAGCAGCAGAGAGAUGCUCCAGCUGUGCACAACCCUUAUGGACAAUAUUAUCUAUAAACUCUCCCAAGGCGUUGUAUGUCAUAUUUAUGCAUAGUUACUGUAUAAGGUGAUCUGCAAAGGGAAAAGCCAUUUCUGAGACACAGUAACAAAUGUUUGAGGAACUUCUUUUGCGCUAUUUAUAGCCUCUGUCGCGAGUCACAAGGACUAUAAAUGUUUUGCAGAGAUGGGUUUCACUUUAAUUCAUCAAGUCCCGCGUCCGCGGCGACUCUAAACAAAGACGCAGAAGCACUGACAGCAGAUGCAUGACAAACCAAAAUAGGACAAAUGAGACGUUAAUUAGUGUAGAAAUUGGGUGGGUUAAUACUCGGGUGAGUUUUAUAUGUGAUUUUUUUUUGUUCAGAUUAACUGCUUAUAGCCUUAGAAAGCCUUUACAAAAUACAAACAAACAAAUAGAUGUGCAUUCAAGUUCUAAGAAUGGAUUCAUCCAAAGGAAUUCCUUUUGUGGUUUGGAUGUUGCAGCCAGUAAAGGAUAUUUUUGCUCUGUUCAGCCAGGGGCUGCCUGGGGCCAGGCCCCGGGUGGGCAGGGAGGGAGAGGCGCGGGUUCGGUUGUAGAACUCGCCAUACUCCGAGUUUACCGCGAGUUUUUAUGCUUGAGAGAGAUGCUUUAUAGAUAAGAAUGAUGUGUUGAUUUUCCUGAUUGUACUGUACAUCUAUUAAAGCCUUAGAUUAUUACAUUACGGGUUAAAACCCAUACCAAUGUAAUUUCAAUCGUGUUAAGAAAGUAUAGGUGACUUCACAUGUUAUUGUAGUGACUUACCAUAGAGAAUUUACUUAUUUUUUUCUUGUUAAAAGUGUAGUUUUUAUUUCUUACAUUUAUUAGCUCGUUUUCAUUUUCUAUUACCAGUUGAUACCAUUUCAGUUCAUAGAAUUUUGUUUUAUUAGAAUUUACUGAUGACUUUUUCAAAAUACAAAAAAAAAAAAGUAGUUUUCUUCAUAACAUACUCAGUUUGGAAUCUAUAUGUAGUGUCUUAUGAGUAUUCGUAUUAUUGUUAACUAAAUGAUUUCUAUUUUACUGAUCUAAUACGACAAUGUAAGAAUGUCAGUCAUUGUUAGUUCUUGUCUAGUUUUCAUUCAAAGAACAAAGAUCUUUUAUAUGGAUAUCUUAUAAUUAUAUAAUCAUUGCUAAGUAAGAAGUUAAGUUGUUGCUAUGGCAACAAUCCUGGCAGACAAUUGAGUAAUAUUUUGAUGAUUUAUUUUGUUUGUAAUUAGUUAUUAUGAGAAAAAAAAAAUCUAGUUCCUAGAUAUUAGAAUAAAAUUUAUUUUCUACUGUAUCCAUUUCAAAUGUUAAAAUAUUGUUUAAAUAUUUUUUGAAAUCCCUGAAUAUCAGGCCUUGUUAUAAAUAAGCUGCAUAAUCAAUAGAUCAAGGGACUUUUUGUUGAUAAUCCAAAUACUCAAAGUUUACAUAACAAGAAUUCUAGUGUGUGUGUGCAAACUCUUGAGGGUUGAUUAUGCUGCAGUUGGGACGUCGAGAGCGAAGGUUGACUUUUUGCACUUCUGUAUAUAGUCAAAAAAGAGAGAAACCUGUAUAAUAGUAAGAUCUUAUUUUGAAUAAAAAUGUCUAUAAUUACAAGGAGUUUUGUUAAGGCUAAAUAAAAUGACAGGCUGAACAAAAUUGCUUGCAAAAGUGGCACAGAGUUAGCACUCCAUCCCCCUUCCAAAAAGUUGCUUUGCUUUAUGUGGACAGCUUGUAGUUUGCCAGGAUUUUUUCAGCUGGAAAGAUCUGCCAUCCUUCCGAGAUCUCAUGACUGACAGAAGCUCCACUGGGUCAAAUCUGCCUGAAAAUCAUUAAGAAACAAAAAAAGGAAAAAAAAAAAAUAAAAAAAAAAAAGCAGGUACUUCAGCCCAUCCAGGGAAUCAUGGCUCAGAUAUUCCGUACAUUAUUCAAAAUCUACUGCAUGUUUAAAGUAUCAAAAUAUAUUAAAGAUAUAUGCUAUUCAAACCAGUUUCUGACAAUUUCAGUGGUUUCUUGUUCACAAAAAAAGAUUCUUCAAAACAAAUACUGACAUUCACAGAGUUCAACCAUGGACAGGCAAACGGAACAGCACCCGUAGCUGUAGGUAGGGGAUUCUUUUCUCGCUGUAGUGGUCCUGUUCUUUCAGCAGGUGAGGAACAACCUGGGAGAUGUUCCCUUUUCACGGAAAGCGCUGCAGGAGCCUGGUCAUCCUGCGCGUGCCAAGGCUGGGAGCAGGCGUGGGGCUGGGAGCUGACCCCAGUCAGUAAUUAAUGAAUUAACUGCUGCGCUCGCAGCCCCGGCUCAUCUGCGGGAAGGACGGGCGCGCUUGGGUUUGCUCUUACGUAACCACAGACUUACUUUGCUUGUAGUUGCUCCAGUUACGUACUCUGUCCUGGGCUGCAAUUUGGGUUUAUGCUUAUUUUAUUAUUACUGCUAUAGUUGACCUUGCUGUAUGGAAAAAAUAAAGUGAAAUUGCCCUAA